UUUCUUUGUAGCUCAAUGGUAGAGCAAAUGGCUGUUAACCAUUAGGUUGUAGGUUCAAAUCCUAUCAAAGAAGU
rnacentral:tRNA from 3 species